rnacentral:rRNA from 1 species
UUGGAGGGCAAGUCUGGUGCCAGCAGCCGCGGUAAUUCCAGCUCCAAUAGCGUAUAUUAAAGUUGUUGCAGUUAAAAAGCUCGUAGUUGAAUUUCGGGAUUGACGUAAUGGUCGUGCCUUAAGGGGUAUGAACUGUUGCUGUUGAUUUCUCACCUUCUGGAGAAACUUGAUGUCCUUAAUUGGGUGUCUUGCGGAUCCAGGACCUUUACCUUGAAAAAAUUAGAGUGUUUAAAGCAGGCAUUUUUGCUCGAAUACAUUAGCAUGGAAUAAUAGAAUAGGACGGCAUGGUUCUAUUUUGUUGGUUUCUAGGACCACCGUAAUGAUUAAUAGGGAUAGUUGGGGGCAUUAGUAUUCAAUUGUCAGGGGUGAAAUUCUUGGAUUUAUUGAAGACUAACUAUUGCGAAAGCAUUUGCCAAGGAUGUUUUCAUUAAUCAAGAACGAAAGUUAGGGGAUCGAAGAUGAUCAGAUACCGUCGUAGUCUUAACCAUAAACUAUGCCGACUAGGAAUCGGGCGACGUUAUUUUCACGACUCAUUCGGCGCCUUACGGGAAAC